rnacentral:rRNA from 1 species
CGUAAAGAACUUGCCUCACAGCUAGGGACAACAUUUAGAAAUGAAUGCUAAUACCUGAUAUCAUGAUUUUAAGGCAUCUUAGAAUUAUGAAAGCUAUAAGCACUGUGAGAGAGCUUUGCGUCCCAUUAGCUAGUUGGAGAGGUAACAGCUCACCAAGGCGAUGAUGGGUAGCCGGCCUGAGAGGGUGAACGGCCACAAGGGGACUGAGACACGGCCCUU